CUUUCAGUAGCUCAGUGGUAGAGCAUUUGCCUAGCAUGUGGAAGGGUCUGGGUUUGAUCACAGCACUGAAAGA
rnacentral:tRNA from 1 species